GAUGAACGCUGGCGGCGUGCCUAAUACAUGCAAGUCGAGCGAACGGACGAGAAGCUUGCUUCUCUGAUGUUAGCGGCGGACGGGUGAGUAACACGUGGAUAACCUACCUAUAAGACUGGGAUAACUUCGGGAAACCGGAGCUAAUACCGGAUAAUAUUUUGAACCGCAUGGUUCAAAAGUGAAAGACGGUCUUGCUGUCACUUAUAGAUGGAUCCGCGCUGCAUUAGCUAGUUGGUAAGGUAACGGCUUACCAAGGCAACGAUGCAUAGCCGACCUGAGAGGGUGAUCGGCCACACUGGAACUGAGACACGGUCCAGACUCCUACGGGAGGCAGCAGUAGGGAAUCUUCCGCAAUGGGCGAAAGCCUGACGGAGCAACGCCGCGUGAGUGAUGAAGAUCUUCGGACCGUAAAACUCUGUUAUUAGGGAAGAACAUAUGUGUAAGUAACUGUGCACAUCUUGACGGUACCUAAUCAGAAAGCCACGGCUAACUACGUGCCAGCAGCCGCGGUAAUACGUAGGUGGCAAGCGUUAUCCGGAAUUAUUGGGCGUAAAGCGCGCGUAGGCGGUUUUUUAAGUCUGAUGUGAAAGCCCACGGCUCAACCGUGGAGGGUCAUUGGAAACUGGAAAACUUGAGUGCAGAAGAGGAAAGUGGAAUUCCAUGUGUAGCGGUGAAAUGCGCAGAGAUAUGGAGGAACACCAGUGGCGAAGGCGACUUUCUGGUCUGUAACUGACGCUGAUGUGCGAAAGCGUGGGGAUCAAACAGGAUUAGAUACCCUGGUAGUCCACGCCGUAAACGAUGAGUGCUAAGUGUUAGGGGGUUUCCGCCCCUUAGUGCUGCAGCUAACGCAUUAAGCACUCCGCCUGGGGAGUACGACCGCAAGGUUGAAACUCAAAGGGAUUGACGGGGACCCGCACAAGCGGUGGAGCAUGUGGUUUAAUUCGAAGCAACGCGAAGAACCUUACCAAAUCUUGACAUCCUUUGACAACUCUAGAGAUAGAGCCUUCCCCUUCGGGGGACAAAGUGACAGGUGGUGCAUGGUUGUCGUCAGCUCGUGUCGUGAGAUGUUGGGUUAAGUCCCGCAACGAGCGCAACCCUUAAGCUUAGUUGCCAUCAUUAAGUUGGGCACUCUAAGUUGACUGCCGGUGACAAACCGGAGGAAGGUGGGGAUGACGUCAAAUCAUCAUGCCCCUUAUGAUUUGGGCUACACACGUGCUACAAUGGACAAUACAAAGGGCAGCGAAACCGCGAGGUCAAGCAAAUCCCAUAAAGUUGUUCUCAGUUCGGAUUGUAGUCUGCAACUCGACUACAUGAAGCUGGAAUCGCUAGUAAUCGUAGAUCAGCAUGCUACGGUGAAUACGUUCCCGGGUCU
rnacentral:rRNA from 1 species